rnacentral:rRNA from 1 species
AACGUAGGAGACUAGCGUUAUCCGGAUUUACUGGGCGUAAAGCGUGUGCAGGCGGUUCGGCAAGUUGGAUGUGAAAUCUCCCGGCUCAACUGGGAGGGGUCGUUCAAUACUACCGAACUUGAGGGCAUCAGAGGAAGGUGGAAUUCCGGGUGUAGUGGUGAAAUGCGUAGAUAUCAUCUGGAACGCCAAUGGUGCAGACAGGCUGCUGGGAAUGAACUGACGCUGAGGCACGAAAGCCAGGGGAGCGAACGGG